GACGAACGCUGGCGGCGUGCCUAAUACAUGCAAGUUGAGCGCUGAAGGCUGGGACUUGUUCCAACUGGAGGAGCAGCGCACGGGUGAGUAACGCGUGCGGAAUCUGCCUUUGAGCGGGGCACAACAUUUGGAAACGAAUGCUAAUACCACAUAAAAACUUUAAACCAAAGUUUUAUGUUUGAAAGAUGCAAUUGCAUCACUCAAUGAUGCUCCCGCCUUGUAUUAGCUAGUUUGUGAGGUAAAGGCUCACCAAGGCGAUGAUACAUAGCCGACCUGAGAGGGUGAGCGGCCACAUUGGGAUUGGGACACGGCCCAAACUCCUACGGGUGGGAGAAGUAGGGAAUAGGCGGAAAGGGAAGAAAGUGAGAGCGAGAAACGGCGAAGGAGUGAAGAAGAUUUUCGGAUCGUAAAACUCUGUUGGUAGAGAAGAACGUAGAUGAGAGGGGAAAGGUGAUCAAGUGACGGUAACUACACAGAAAGGGACGGCUAACUACGUG
rnacentral:rRNA from 1 species